rnacentral:rRNA from 1 species
AUACUGAGGGUGCAAGCGUUAAUCGGAAUUACAGGGCGUAAAGCGCACGUAGGCGGUUUAUUAAGUCAGAUGUGAAAGCCCUGGGCUUAACCUGGGAACUGCAUUUGAGACUGGUAGGCUAGAGUAUGGUAGAGGAUAGUGGAAUUCCGGGUGUAGCGGUGAAAUGCGUAGAUAUCCGGAGGAACAUCAGCGGCGAAGGCGGCUAUCUGGACCAAUACUGACGCUGAGGUGCGAAAGCGUGGGGAGCAAACAGGAUUAGAAACCCUAGUAGUCC